UGGUGCUAGCAACACUUUCCUAGCACAAAUUCAGGUGCUCAAUAACUUCAAAUUUUUUAUAAAACACACAAUUUCCAUCCACAAUUCUCGGAAAAAUAAGUACUUAAAAAAAAUACUCAACUCUCGCGCUAAAAAUAAUAUACAGUUUCCCACCCACAAUUUCAUACUAUCGAAAAUUCCUUAGUUUCUCACCGCCUAAUCCUCAAAUCUCUCCGUCUCUCUUGCUCCGCCGGAUUCCUCAAAUCUCUCCGCUGCUCUCUCAAAUUGAGGAACAGCAGAUUUCAGUGAAGAUUCCCCUGCUCUCUCAAAUUGAGGAACAGCAGAUUUCAGUGAAGAUUCCCCUGCUCCAAUCCACUCGUAGAGGCGCUGCAGAUUUCUCUCUCACUUGGCAGCAACAGAAAUAGCUCGUGGAGGAUAUACAAGUCGUAAAACUUCAUCUUCCAUUGACACUACACUUGAGGAUGUCUUGGACCGAUUCGAUGCUGAAUUGUCAGCGGAUGCUGCUGAGGAACAAGAUAUAGUUGGGAGUCAGCGACUUUCCACCUCCACCACGUCCUCUAGAUGAAUAUGGCCGGAAGUAUAUACAGCUUGUGAUGCAGGACGAACUUGCGAAAGUGCGUAAAGAGUUAGACCAGAAAACAGCGUCGUUGCAAGACCAGCUGAAGAUCCUCGCUGAACAGUUCAACCAAUUGACAUGAGGCUAGUGUUAUGAACUCCAUUUGAAGUGGAACAAUGUAGUAUUUUGAACUCCUUAACUAACUUCCUCUGAAGUGAACCAAUUUAGUAUUUUAAA